rnacentral:misc_RNA from 1 species
GAUGAAGAACGCAGUGAAAUGCGAUACGUAAUGUGAAUUGCAGAUUUCAGUGAAUCAUCGAAUCUUUGAACGCACAUUGCGCCCGCUAGUAUUCUGGCGGGCAUGCCUGUUCGAGCGUCAUUUCAACCAUCAAGCCCUAGGCUUGCGUUGGAGCCCUGCGGCUGCCGCAGGCUCCCAAAUCCAGUGGCGGGCUCGUCGUCGUACCGAGUGCAGUAAACAUCCUCGCUCAGGGAACGUGACGGGUUCUUGCCGUGAAACCCCCCACAUAUCAAGGUUGACCUCGGAUCAGGUAGGAAUACCCGCUGAACUUAAGCAUAUCAAUAAGCGGAGA